GCGGCCGCGAGAACAGUAGCCGCCCAGGGACUAAGGGGGCUUCUGGGAGGACACACGGCUGGCCCAGGGUGAGGGGAGCCACUGCAGGGCGCUCCCCAGGCCCAGGGCCCGUCAGGGGACAGUACGGUGACCCGGCCUGCAGGUGGCAGUCGGUUCUGUGUGUCUGGGGCCCACAGAACAGAUUCAACACUCACUGCGUCAUGUGCCAGCUGUUGCACACUCAUCUCCACGCCCAACUCACAGGAAGCAAGGCUGGGAAGGAGGGAACUGGCCCCAGGCCACACAGAUGCUGAGAGUUGGGAAUAUGAUCGGGUGCAGUGGCUCACACCUGUAAUUCCAGCACUUGGGGAGGCCAAGGCGAGUGGAUUGCUUGAGCCCAGGAGUCUGAGACCAGCCUGGGCAACAUGGU
rnacentral:sRNA from 1 species